CGCUCUCCCCUCGUCUCCUCCUCUGCGUCUCCCCAAACCCCCGUCAACCUCCUCCUCCUCUCCAAUCUCUUCUCCUCCCACCGAAUUCCCACACCCCCUCCACAUUCCCCGUUCACCCUCGAUCGAGUUCUAUCUCUCCCCAAUUCACCUUCGCUUCGCCCUUGAAUCCCUUCUUCGCUCAUCUUCCCAAAUCGCUUCAGAAAUUAGGGUUUCCUGUCCGAUUCUUAUCGGCGUCGCAUCAUUUCUUGUUCAUAGAUCCGUACUUAGAGGCCCGAGUGUCAUCUUUUUGGUUCUAAAGGCCUUUCCUUUUCUUGGGCCGAGCUCCCCGCUUCGUGUUGGGGCCGAGCUCGAUCGGCCUGCCCGGGGUUUGCAAUCGUCCUGUGAGACCACAUGGAUGCCGCCGCCGGCAUCGACGGAGUGCCCUCCUCCCAGGCUGCCAGAAAGGAGUGGCAGGCAGUCAUCGAGCACUCCUUUGGGAACAAUGGAGGCGAGGUUAAAUCGGAGCAAUCAGCUGAGAGAACAGUAUAUGAGAAGGAGGGUACCAGCCCACUGGAUGGGGACUUGCGUUCGAUCACAAUUGAAGGUGUUGGUGAGUUGAAUAAUAAAAUCUUGCACCAGAAGCUGCAAGAAAUCACGAAGCAGAGAGAAGGGCUUCAACAAAUGGAAAUUGAUCUACGAGCUAAGGCGAUUGGCAGAUCAGAUAUGUUGAAGGUGCAGAAUAGUUUUGAAGUGCAGCUCAAGGAACACAGAGAUAUGAAUGCUAACCUAAAGGAGAAACUACACAAACGGGAAAAGCACAUACAUGAGCUGGAGAUGAAACUAAGAGAGUCCGAUAGGGAGCUAGAUGCUAUAAAAUUUGACACUGAAGCAGCAUGGGCUAAAGAUGACCUUCUUAGAGAACAAAACAAGGAGCUAGCCACCUUCAGAAGGGAGCGUGAUAACUCGGCAGCAGAAAAAGCACAACUUCUGAAUCAAAUUCGUGAUCUCCAUGAUCAUAUUCAAGAGAAGGAUAAUCAGAUUCUUGCAUUACAAGAGCAGAAUAGAGUUGCACAAGAAACUAUCCUCUUCAAGGAUGAACAACUAAGGGAGACACAAGCUUGGGUUUCACGUGUUCAAGAAAUGGAUGCUUUGCAGUCAUCCACUAACCAGUCAUUACAAACUGAGCUACGACAAUGCAUUGAGCAGUUCAACCAGUACUGGAUUGGUUUUCAGCGGCAGUUUGUUGAAAUGGAGCACCAUCACAGGAAAACCAUACAGCAGCUUCAGCAAGAGUUGGCUGAGGUAAAGGAGAAGAAUGGAAUGCAUAAAGAUGGGUCAUGUCCUACUUAUGAAAAUUCAACAUACUCAUCUUUAUAUAAUGGAAAUCUGAUCAAUGUGAAAGAUGGUGGCAAAUCAAAUGGUCACCUGGAAUUUACAUCUAAUGGAGGUGAAGACAGGAGUUCAUCUUUUGUUUCAGCUGCCAAUCUUUCUACUAAGAUUGAUCAUGCCCCUGGUGUUCCAGUAGUGCCAUCAUCUAUAGUUAGCAUGAAUGCCUUUAUUCCUCCUGGCCAAAUGACUACAAUGCAUACUUAUGCAAUGACUCCACAAAGUGUUCAACAGCCUGUAGCUGUCACCAAUUCACCUUUUCUGCAAUCUCACAUGGGCCAUUUACAAUCAGUGCCAAUUGUUCCAACUCAGCAGCACUGGCAAAAUCAGCAGAUUGUACCAGAUAUCUCAGAGAUGCCUAAUCAGAGCAAGCAUCCGCAAUCCCAGACAGAGCAGGAUCUUUUAAGAUCAGAUAUCCACUAUAGCUCCAAUCUACCUGGUGAAAUACAAAUGGUCCAUCCAGACUAUCUUAAUAGCCACAGAGACCUGCAACAGAUGUCUGGCCUUUCAUGCAAUGUCUCAAGUGAAGAAGUUCAGGUGCUUGAAUCAAACAGUGAUCAGUACUUAGCUACCCAACAAACACAAGGGACCUCAGAUGCACCUUCUCACCUGGAUUUUGCAAAAGAAUUCGACCCUCCGGAAAUGAAGAAUGAACCAAGGGUUAAGGACCUUACAGCUGCAGGGAACCAAUCACAAGAGCAAGUUCUGGAAUCUGGAAAGCAAUGGCCAACUUCUAGCAUCAUGUUAUCCACUAGGCAAAGCAGCUCCUCUGUCAGUUUAAAUGACACAAAAGAAUCUGCUGUUACGGCUGCACUUGUUUCAAGUAUUUCGAUGCCUGGUAAACCACCAUUGGAGCCCAAUCUUUUAGAUGAAAGAUCACUUUUGGCUUGCAUUGUCCGUGCAAUUCCUGCUGGAUCAGAUGGUAGAAUCAGAAUCAGUACAACACUACCGAAUAGGCUUGGGAGAAUGCUUGCACCCCUUCGCUGGCACCAUUACAAGAAGCAUUAUGGAAAGCUUGAUGAUUUCGUUGCUCAUCAUCCUGAAUUAUUUGUUAUUGAGGGGGACUUCAUCCACCUUCGUGAAGGAGCACAACAAAUUAUAUCUGCAACUGCAGCUGUUGCCAAAGUUGCUGCUGCUUCUGCAUCUUCUGUUCCUUAUGUAUCAUUGUUUCCUUCGGUUGCUGUUACUCCAGUUGCUCAAAUCAGCCGCCGGAAAAGGGUACAAUCACUUGAAUCAGAGGUUGUAAACAGUAAGACUUUUGCAGAUGGUGCUUCUGUGAUUGAUGCUGGAGAUUCAAGUGACGACUGCACCCAGAUAUUAAUAAGACAGGACCAAAAACCAAAUGGUGUCAGUUUUAACAUUAUUCAGGGACUUUCAGAUGUCAAAAUUUCAAGUAAAUUAAAGAAUGUCCAAGAAGCUAAUGGUAUACCGUCUGAUUUCAAAACUGGCCAUUCGUCUGUUCAUUUUACGGUCGGAAAUGCAACAAACCUUGAUAGAACAGUUUAUCUUCUUUGCAGAUCAAAUAGCUGAGUGAUGGAAUGCAGAAUUUUGGAGGGAACCAGCAAGAGAGGUCUUCUGGGGCUGGCUUGAUUUCUAGGAGAUAGUGCUACUGAUUAAAGCUAAGGCCUCAGUCACUUGGAUGGAAAUUGCAGCCAAACAAAAGUUUGGAGAUUAUUUACUCCGGAUAAAGCUCUCUGAUCAUUCUUUCUCAGAUUUUACUGUUGAAUCACAAACUUGGGCUCUUCCUAGUUUAUUCUCUGCCAAUUUAUACUUGGAUCCAUGUUUCAAACCGAAAGAAAGGAAAAAAAGAUAGAAUUCUUUGCAACUGUGCAAUGCUUAAUGCAUCUACUUGCUAUGCAUCUGAUGAAAAGCUUGAUAGUUUGUAUUUGAUCCUGGUUCCAAUGCCCAGAUUCCAGAUAAUUACAGAACUUUCCAUGGUGGAAAAGCU